rnacentral:sRNA from 1 species
UCUUAAAAACCUAAGUAUUGAAUCUUUGUUAGAAGAUACAAAAACAAAGACUCAUACGGACUUCGACUACAUUAUCAAAGCUUUGAGAAGCAAGAAGAAGUUUGGUUAGUGUUUUGGAUUCAAAUAU